UUAUGGAGAGUUUGAUCCUGGCUCAGAACGAACGCUGGCGGCGUGCUUAAUACAUGCAAGUCGUGCGAGAAAGUCAGCUUCGGCUGGCGAGUAAAGCGGCGAACGGGUGCGUAACACGUGGGCAACCUGCCUUUGGGUCUGGGAUAAGCCACCGAAAGGGGGUCUAAUACCGGAUAAUUUCUUCAUCUCGCAUGAGGAGAAGAUCAAAGAUCGCGAAAGCGACCGCCUGGAGAUGGGCCCGCGGCCUAUUAGCUUGUUGGCGAGAUAACAGCUCACCAAGGCCACGAUGGGUAGCCGUCCUGAGAGGGAUAACGGCCACACUGGGACUGAGAUACGGCCCAGACUCCUACGGGAGGCAGCAGUAGGGAAUAUUGGGCAAUGCCCGCAAGGGUGACCCAGCGACGCCGCGUGGGCGAUGAAGCUCCUUGGAGUGUAAAGCCCUGUCGGAAGGGAAGAAACGCAUUGUGGUGAACCACAGUGCCUGACGGUACCUUUAAAGGAAGCUCCGGCUAACUCCGUGCCAGCAGCCGCGGUAAUACGGAGGGAGCGAGCGUUGUUCGGAAUCACUGGGCGUAAAGGGCGCGCAGGCGGACUGAUAAGUCGGGUGUGAAAUCCCAAGGCUUAACCUUGGGUCUGCACUCGAAACUACCAGUCUUGAGUACGAGAGAGGGAAGCGGAAUCCCAGGUGUAGCGGUGAAAUGCGUAGAUAUCUGGGAGAACACCGGUGGCGAAGGCGGCUUCCUGGCUCGAUACUGACGCUCAGGCGCGAAGGCUAGGGGAGCAAACAGGAUUAGAUACCCUGGUAGUCCUAGCGGUAAACGAUGGGCACUAGGUGUUGGAGGACUUACCCCUUCAGUGCCGAAGCUAACGCAUUAAGUGCCCCGCCUGGGGAGUACGACCGCAAGGUUGAAACUCAAAGGAAUUGACGGGGGCCCGCACAAGCAGUGGAGUAUGUGGUUUAAUUCGAUGCAACGCGAAGAACCUUACCUGGGUUUGACAUCAACUGGAAAUCCAUAGAGAUAUGGCCCCCUCUUCGGAGGUCGGUUGACAGGUGCUGCAUGGCUGUCGUCAGCUCGUGCCGUGAGGUGUUGGGUUAAGUCCCGCAACGAGCGCAACCCCUGCCCAUAGUUACCAGCGGUUCGGCCGGGAACUCUAUGGGGACUGCCUCGGUUAACGAGGAGGAAGGUGGGGAUGACGUCAAGUCCUCAUGGUCCUUACGUCCAGGGCUACACACGUACUACAAUGGCCGGUACAGAGGGUCGCAAGACCGCGAGGUGGAGCCAAUCCCUAAAACCGGUCUCAGUUCGGAUUGGAGGCUGCAACUCGCCUCCAUGAAGUUGGAAUUGCUAGUAAUCGCGAAUCAGCACGUCGCGGUGAAUACGUUCCCGGGCCUUGUACACACCGCCCGUCAAGCCACGGAAGUUGGGAGUACCCAAAGGCGUGAACCCAACCGCAAGGAGGGUAGCGUCUAAGGUAAGACCGAUAACUGGGGCUAAGUCGUAACAAGGUAGCCGUAGCGGAAGCUGUGGCUGGAUCACCUCCUUUCUAAGGAGA
rnacentral:rRNA from 1 species